rnacentral:lncRNA from 1 species
CACAUAGACAGACAGACACAUAGACAGACAGACACAUAGACAGACAGACACAUAGACAGACAGACACACAGACAGAGGCGGGAAGGGAGAGAGGAAGGAAGGGAGGGGAGGAAAUCUCGACACUUCAUGCGUCGGUGAUCCGGAAAUCCCUUUCGUCCUUCAAGGAAGUGCAUCCGGCGUGUGAAAGAAGUUUUGAUCGAUUAGGACAAAUUUUCACCCGAGUAACACGAUGCAGAUGUGCACGCAUGUCACCAAGUGAACCGUUCAGAAUGCGAGUUCUGAGAAGUUGAUGAGCGAACAGGUCUCAACGUUUAGUGUUAAUCGGAAAUUUCACACAGAGCAAAUCCCCGAGCACGACGUGGGACCAAAGUUGAAAUAUGUCAUCUUUGAACUGACACGCGGAAUAUGUGUAAGAUGCGAUUAUCCGUGAAUUUUGUAACUAGGCAAAUGGAGAGUAACUGACGAGAAAAGCCAUACAUCACGAUUUCGACGGACUUACGUCAUGCGCAGAAAAAGCACGUCGGCGAACAUUUCGUGAAUCGUUACUGAAGCGGUUAAGCUGAUUCGAGUCGCCUGCGCUUCUUCGCGCUUCAUUCACAUUUACGUCACUCGCGCAGUUGCGAAAGAGAAGAGCAAGCUGAGCAAUUUCGCAACAUCGACAUUUACGAAGAGAAAAAUGAACUAAAAGAAAAGAAGCGUUUAGUAUGUUACAAAUGUCAAGAGGGAAAAAAAAGCAAGCGCGGCAAUUUUAUUAAAAUAUUGAUAUCCGAAGGAAAUAGAGUAAAAACGAUCGUUCUCAGCAUGCGUUUAAUUAAUAUGUCCGAUCUACCAAGUCAGAUAAAUUAUUCGCUAUUGAUACCUGUAAGUAAAGAUAUUGUUACUCCUUAAGAUGGAUAAAACUUCCUACAAAGUACGCCUUAAAGAAAACUAUUACAUUAAUAAUAGCUUAACAAUUUUGAUUUUUUUCCAUAACUACUUAGUAAAUAUUUUACAUUAUUAUUUUUACGUUUAAUUUUUAAAAUUUUUUUCCGUAGAGUGAUAAGUUUUUAUAUAUAAAAUCUGUAAUAAAAAUGUAUUAUAAAAAUUUUCAUCUAACUUGAAUCUAAUUUGUUUUCCUUUCUCCCCUCUGGAAAAUCACAAAUACAGUAUUUUAUAAAUAUACGAGACAUCAACACUUUUCAUACGAUUAUUAAAUCUGUACACUCCACUAAAGUUUCAAGUAUUGCCUGUUAAUAUGCCGAGAUGCUGCUUAAAAUGCGAAUAUGCAUCUAUAUAUUACGUAAGUAUUCAUAAAGUUCCUACUUAUACGCUGACUGCUAGAAAAUCUAAUUUUCAGUAUAACAUUUUCAACAGAUUUAAAAUUGCUGACAGUGACAUUUCACAUAAAAUCUAUUCUGUAUAGAUAUGCAUAUAAAUGAAAUGAUAAAGAAAAUGUCAUGAAUGCAGUAACAUAUACAACAAUGAUAACGAUUUUCUCUUCAAGGGAAAUAUUUUUUUUAUUUUAUCCGGAUUUCUUAUUUAUUAAAUUAAAAAUGAAUUCUUUCUAAAUAUUAUAUAAUGAAUAUAUAAAAGUAAUAUUUUUAGUAUUUAUUUUCUUUUUUAAUCUUUUUUCUCCGUUUUAUUUUUUAACAAAAUGCUGAAGACAGUCUGCUUUAAACGUUAAAACAAUAAUUUUGCAACAAACUAUCGUAUUUCUUUUAUAAGAUUUUGUACUGAAAAAAUUUUGUUUUUUAUGUAUUAAUAAAAAAAAUUUUCUUUGUUCUCACAAUUAGUAUAAAACCCAGUCCACAGACUAAUAUUAAUAUAUAUUAACUAUAAUUUUGGAAAAGGAUUUUCAAAUCUAUACGAAAUUUUGUUACAAAAAUUAAUUAAAAUUAUUUAAUCAGUAAAAUAGAUUGUCUCUAGCAUCCUUUUAAUAAAAAGUCAUUUGUUUUACUAAUUUCUAUGUCAACUGCAAGGGUUUGGUAUGUUUUAUCGUAAUUGUUUCUUGCAUAUUGUACAAGCAGUGAGACCUCUAUUACUUCCUUAGCUGUUAUCGACGCGAGUGAGAAAUGCAUUCCUGCAACUGCCCGUUGCAGCUGCUCGACAUUUAAUUCGGCGCUGGUUUCUUUGUGUUCAAAGCGGACCAUGGGAUUAUACGAUGAAUAUCAAGCUGUUUUGCAUUAAUUUUCCUACGGCAGUAAAACGCACGUAUUGUAUCUUUUUUAAAAAAA